rnacentral:rRNA from 1 species
UACGGGGGGAGCAAGCGUUGUUCGGAUUUACUGGGCGUAAAGGGCGCGUAGGCGGUCAGCACAAGUCAGUUGUGAAAUCUCCGGGCUUAACUCGGAAAGGUCAACUGAUACUGUGCGACUAGAGUGCAGAAGGGGCAACUGGAAUUCUCGGUGUAGCGGUGAAAUGCGCAGAUAUCGGGAGGAACACCGGUGGCGAAGGCGGUUCUCUGGGCCUACCUGACGCUGGAGGAGCGAAAGCGUGGGGAGCAAACAGGG